rnacentral:rRNA from 1 species
CCUACGGGAGGCAGCAGCAAGGAAUUUUGUGCAAUGGGCGAAAGCCUGACACAGCAACGCCGCGUGAGGGAUGACGGCCUUCGGGUUGUAAACCUCUUUUCUCAGGGAAGAAUAAUGACGGUACCUGAGGAAUAAGCUUCGGCUAACUACGUGCCAGCAGCCGCGGUAAUACGUAGGAAGCGAGCGUUAUCCGAAUUUACUGGGCGUAAAGUGGGCGUAGGUGGCCUUUCAAGUUGGAUGUGAAAUCUCCUGGCUUAACUGGGAGGGGUCAUCCAAUACUGCUAGGCUGGAGGACAGCAGGGGAAAGUGGAAUUCCCGGUGUAGUGGUGAAAUGCGUAGAUAUCGGGAGGAACACCAGUGGCGAAGGCGGCUUUCUAGGCUGUUUCUGACGCUGAGGCCCUAAAGUGUGGGGAGCGAACAGGAUUAGAUACCCUGGUAGUCCACACCUUAAACUAUGGAUACUUGGUAUAGGGAGUUUCGACCCUCUCUGUGCCGAAGCUAACGCUUUAAGUAUCCCGCCUGGGAACUACGGCCGCAAGGCUAAAACUCAAAGGAAUUGACGG